rnacentral:misc_RNA from 1 species
GAUGAAGAACGUAGCGAAAUGCGAUACGUAGUGUGAAUUGCAGAAUUCAGUGAAUCAUCGAAUCUUUGAACGCACAUUGCACCUCUCGGUAUUCCGGGAGGUAUGCCUGUUCGAGCGUCAUUUGUACCCUCAAGCUCUGCUUGGUGUUGGGUGUUUGUUCCGCCUCUGUGUGUGAACUCGCCUCAAAACAAUUGGCAGCCGGCGUACUUGUUUCGGAGCGCAGCACAUUUUGCGAUCCAGAUCAACGUACAGCGGCAUCCAAGAAGCCUUAUUUAACGCUCUUGGCCUCGGAUCAGGUAGGGAUACCCGCUGAACUUAAGCAUAUCAAUAAGCGGAGGA